UAACAAGGAUUCCCCUAGUAACUGCGAGUGAAGCGGGAAAAGCUCAAAUUUAAAAUCUGGCGGCUUUGCUGCCCGAGUUGUAAUCUGGAGAAGCGUUUUCCGUGCUGGACCGUGUACAAGUCUCUUGGAACAGAGCGUCAUAGAGGGUGAGAAUCCCGUCCAUGACACGGACUCCCAGUGCUUUGUGAUACGCUCUCGAAGAGUCGAGUUGUUUGGGAAUGCAGCUCAAAAUGGGUGGUAAAUUCCAUCUAAAGCUAAAUAUUGGCGAGAGACCGAUAGCGAACAAGUACCGUGAGGGAAAGAUGAAAAGCACUUUGGAAAGAGAGUUAAACAGUACGUGAAAUUGUUGAAAGGGAAACGCUUGAAGUCAGUCGCGUCGUCCACAACUCAGCCUUGCCUCGGCUUGGUGCAUUUUGUGCAUGACGGGUCAACAUCGAUUUGGACCGACGGACAAAGCGUGAGGGAAUGUGGCACUCCUCGGAGUGUGUUAUAGCCCUUACGCAUAUACGCCGGUCGGGAUCGAGGACCGCAGCGCGCCCUUGUGGCCGGAGGUUCGCCUCACGUUUCGCGCUUAGGAUGUUGGCAAAAUGGCUUUAAGCGACCCGUCUUGAAACACGGACCAAGGAGUCUAACAUGCUCGCGAGUGUUAGGGUGGAAAACCCUUGCGCAUAAUGAAAGUAAAAGUUGAGAGCCUCCGCAAGGGGGUGCAUCGACGCCCGGCCCUGAAGUUUACGGACGGUGCUGCGGUUGAGCGCGUAUGUUGGGACCCGAAAGAUGGUGAACUAUGCCUGAAUAGGGCGAAGCCAGAGGAAACUCUGGUGGAGGCUCGUAGCGAUUCUGACGUGCAAAUCGAUCGUCAAAUUUGGG
rnacentral:rRNA from 1 species